UGGGGAAUUUUGCACAAUGGGGGGAACCUUGAUGCAGCGACGCCGCGUGAGGGAUGGAGGCCUUCGGGUUGUGAACCUCUUUCGCUCGUGUGCAAGCCGCUAUUUGGGUAGUGGUGAGUGUAGCGGGUAAAGAAGCGCCGGCUAACUACGUGCCAGCAGCCGCGGUAAUACGUAGGGCGCGAGCGUUGUCCGGAUUUAUUGGGCGUAAAGGGCUUGUAGGCGGUUUGUCGCGCCUGUCGUGUAAUCCUCUGGCUUAACUGGGGGUGUGCGGUGGGUACGGGCAGGCUUGAGUGCGGUAGGGGAGAUUGGAAUUCCUGGUGUAGCGGUGGAAUGCGCAGAUAUCAGGAGGAACACCGGUGGCGAAGGCGGGUCUCUGGGCCGUUACUGACGCUGAGGAGCGAAAGCGUGGGGAGCGAACAG
rnacentral:rRNA from 1 species